GGGAGGCGUAGCCGACGCGCAGCAGGCAGACAUUCCUGCACCGCGCACGCGGCGCUACGACCGACGGGGCGACGGAUGGGGGUGGCUCGGCGGGGUUCUGGACGUCCCCGUGAUGGAGCGCGGCCCGCGGACCAGGGAAAUCCGGUCCGCACACAGGGCGAGGCUCCGGACGAAGCGACUGAGCGAAGCGAGUGAGCCCGAGGUCCCUAGAAAAACCCCUAGGCAGGCGCGUGCGCGCCCGUACCGCAAACCGACACAGGUGGGUGGGUAGAACAUACCGAGGCGAUCGGGUCAACCAUGGUCAAGGAACUCGGCACAAUGGCCCCGUAACUUCGGGAGAAGGGGUGCCCGCGCGUACGUGAACCGGCUCGCCCGGGGAGCGGAGGCGGGCCGCAGUGGAGAGGCCCAAGCGACUGUUUACCAAAAACACAGGACUCUGCAGAAGCCGCAAGGCGACGUAUAGGGUCUGACGCCUGCCCGGUGCCGGAAGGUCACGCGGAGGAGUUAGCCGAUUCGGCGAAGCCCCGAAGCCAAGCCCCGGUAAACGGCGGCCGUAACUAUAACGGUCCUAAGGUAGCGAAAUUCCUUGUCGGGUAAGUUCCGACCUGCACGAAAGGCGCAACGACUUGGGCGCUGUCUCGACCAUGGACCCGGUGAAAUUGCACUGGUCGUGAAGAUGCGACUUACCCGCGGAAGGACGGAAAGACCCCGUGAACCUUCACUGCAGCUUGGCAUUGGCCGCUGGUCCCGCGUGUAGAGGAUAGGCAGGAGGCACAGAUCCGGAGGCGCCAGCCCCCGGGGAGCCGCCCUUGGAAUACUGCCCUCGCGCGACCGGCGUCCUAACCCGAGGCCGUCAACCGGCUCGGGGACCGUGCCAGGCGGGCAGUUUGACUGGGGCGGUCGCCUCCUAAAGGGUAACGGAGGCGCGCGAAGGUCCGCUCGGGACGGUCGGCAACCGUCCUUUUGAAUGCAAGAGUACAAGCGGGCUUGACUGCGAGGCCCACAAGCCGAGCAGGUGCGAAAGCAGGCUCUAGUGAUCCGGCGGCCCCGAGUGGGUGGGCCGUCGCUCAACGGAUAAAAGGUACUCCGGGGAUAACAGGCUGAUCUUGCCCAAGAGUCCACAUCGACGGCAAGGUUUGGCACCUCGAUGUCGGCUCAUCGCAUCCUGGGGCUGGAGUCGGUCCCAAGGGUACGGCUGUUCGCCGUUUAAAGCGG
rnacentral:rRNA from 1 species